AUUGAACGCUGGCGGCAGGCCUAACACAUGCAAGUCGAACGAGUGGCGGACGGGUGAGUAAUGUCUGGGAAAUUGCCUGAUGGAGGGGGAUAACUACUAGAAACGGUAGCUAAUACCGCAUACCAUCGGAUGUGCCCAGAUGGGUUUAGCUGGUAGGUGGGGUAAAGGCUCACCUAGGCGACGAGCCCUAGCUGGUCUGAGAGUAAGACCAGCCACACGGGAACGGAGAGACGGUCCAGAUUCCUACGGGAGGCAGAAUUGGGGAAGAUUGCACAAUGGGCGCAAGCCUGAUGCAGCCAUGCCGCGUGUAUGAAGAAGGCCUUCGGGUUGUAAAGUACUUUCAGCGGGGAGGCGUUACCCGCAGAAGAAGCACCGACUAACUCCGUGCCAGCAGCCGCGGUAAUUC
rnacentral:rRNA from 1 species